rnacentral:rRNA from 1 species
UACAGAGGGUGCAAGCGUUAAUCGGAAUUACUGGGCGUAAAGGGUGCGUAGGUGGUUACUUAAGUCAGAUGUGAAAUCCCUAGGCUUAACCUAGGAAUUGCGUUUGAAACUGAAUAGCUAGAGUACAGGAGAGGGAAGUGGAAUUUCCGGUGUAGCGGUGAAAUGCGUAGAUAUCGGAAGGAACACCAGUGGCGAAGGCGACUUCCUGGCCUGUUACUGACACUGAGGCACGAAAGCGUGGGGAGCGAACAGG